AUUGUAUUAAGUAGUUAUAAUUUAAAACCUUAGGUUUAAGUUAAAGAAGUUAAGCUUAUUAUCGCUUCCUAAUUUAUUACACAGAUGGAUUCUCGCGGUAAAAAAAUAAAAAAAUUUAAGAAGAAAAAACACAUUUUACCUAGAUCAAGUCAGCUUCCUCCACCUACACCAAAUAUGAGCCUUCCUCCUAUGCCUCCUCGUCCUUCCAUGCCAGCUUCACAGUCAUCUGACUUUUUCAAAGUCCCUCCCACCUCUAGCUUGCUUUAGUAUUACUCCAUGCCUUCUCAUGGUGGCUCAGCUUCGACCACCAUUAAUUUUAUACCCACACCUCAUUUUUCAGCUUCUUCCCGGCGUGAUCCUGCUAGUCAGUUUGGUGGUUCACCACCGAUUGCAUCCCCGAGCCAUCAUAGUAGCCAGCAUGGUACUUCAUCUUUUGUGCCUCAUACAUCACCAACCCAAUUAUCAUCUCCAUCAUCAUCCACUCCAAGUAUAUCUAGAGGCUCUCAUGCAGCUGCAUCCCCAUCAACCUGUACUUCUACAAUUGUUGGUAUAGUGAGACAGUAUACUGGAGGGAUUGUACAGUACCAUUAUCUUCAUCGGCUGAUUAUCGUUCUCCAUAGUGACGGGUUUUUGCCAUCCUUUCAGGCCGCGCCUAUGGUGAUAGGAUAUAUGAAGCUAUUUUUUCAUAAGCCUUGGAAUUCUUGGAGACAGAUACUGUACCAGAUCAGAAUGAAUAUGUGACAACAAUUUAAGGUUAGAUGCGUAUGGCAGCUGGCACUUGAAAAUCUGGUGAAUGAUAACUUCGAGAAGAAAGCAAAGAAGCUGAUAACAAAUUCACAUCAUGCUGCUAGGAAAGGUGGCAAUAUGCCUAAUUGGAUAAGUGAAGAUGUCUGGAAUCAGCUCUUGGCGAAGUGGAACACCCCAGAGUAGAAGAAAAAUAGUGAACAAGCAAAGGGAAACAUAAGAAGAAGGACGACACAAGAGAAGGAUGGAUUGAACCGCGUGCUUGAGAGACAUUUGACAAAUAUCAUAUUGAUCUUGAUGCAUGGAGACAAACUCAGCCUAAGAGAACUCAGCCGACCCCGGAGGAUAUGACUACAAUUUGGACACAAGCAGCUGGUGGCGUGAAUAAAGGUCGAGUCUAUGGGAUUGGAGUACAUCCAUCCUCCAGUCAUCCACCAACAACAUUAUUCACUAGGGCAUCAGUUUCCCAAGAAGACAUGGAAGCUAUGCGUCAAAAAGUGGAUCAAAUAUCGCAAGAAUUUCAAGCAACUUAGGCUUUGAUCCAAAAAUUGUUAAAAAAGAAAAGCAAGGAAGGAGCUGCAAUGGAAUCUGAGUCUGAGUUUGAGGAGAAGACUGAUUCUGAAUAAGCUAUUUGAAUGUUUUAGAGUUAAAGUU